rnacentral:sRNA from 1 species
UUUUUUCAUUUGUUUU